rnacentral:rRNA from 1 species
GAACCAGACUCCUACGGGAGGCAGCAGUCGGGAAUAUUGCACAAUGGAGGAAACUCUGAUGCAGUGACGCCGCGUGCAGGAAGAAGGUUUUCGGAUUGUAAACUGCUUUAGACAGGGAAGAAACAAGACAGUACCUGUAGAAUAAGCUCCGGCUAACUACGUGCCAGCAGCCGCGGCAAUACGUAGGGGGCAAGCGUUAUCCGGAUUUAUUGGGUGUAAAGGGUGCGUAGACGGGAAUUUAAGUUAGUUGUGAAAUCCCUCGGCUUAACUGAGGAACUGCAACUAAAACUGAAUUUCUUGAGUGCGGGAGAGGAAAGUGGAAUUCCUAGUGUAGCGGUGAAAUGCGUAGAUAUUAGGAGGAACACCAGUGGCGAAGGCGACUUUCUGGACCGUAACUGACGUUGAGGCACGAAAGUGUGGGGAGCAAACAGGAUUAGAUACCCCCGUAUCU